UACGGGGGGGGCAAGCGUUGUUCGGAAUUACUGGGCGUAAAGGGCUCGUAGGUGGCCAACUAAGUCAGACGUGAAAUCCCUCGGCUUAACCGGGGAACUGCGUCUGAUACUGGAUGGCUCGAGAUUGGGAGAGGGAUGCGGAAUUCCAGGUGUAGCGGUGAAAUGCGUAGAUAUCGGGAAGAACACCAGUGGCGAAAGCGCUCUACUGGGCCAUAACUGACACUGAGGGACGAAAGCUAGGGGAGCGAAAGGG
rnacentral:rRNA from 1 species